CCAAUAGAAUUUUUGAAAGCCAUCACAUGCAAUUUUUCAACUGAACGAGAACUUGGCAGGGGAGUUCUGCAUUGAGCUGUCGUAGAGAGCGCAGACAGGCACUCUAGCCAACGUUGUUGGCUAGGAUUGGGACACAAAAGCGAGACGAGGGAUGAGAAGCACAGGAGGAGUCAGUCUGUCCUCAUCAUCGAUAUAUGCAAGCCAUCCAGUGCUUUGGAGUUGAUAUGGUCGGCUGAGAAGUUGAGGAAGAAGUCAUUUCUACCUAUAAGCUAGGUGCUGUUGUUGUUUGAAUAGAGACCAUCUCUACUCCUUUAAUGCCUAAACCUACAGCUGUGUGACAUGAAGAACUUGUGAACCAAAAUCACGGCACAACUGAAGACAUAACUAACUGGA